GGAACGAACGCUGGCGGCAUGCCUAAUACAUGCAAGUCGAACGAACUCUUCGGAGUUAGUGGCGCACGGGUGCGUAACGCGUGGGAAUCUGCCCCUUGGUUCGGAAUAACAGUUGGAAACGACUGCUAAUACCGGAUGAUGACGAAAGUCCAAAGAUUUAUCGCCAAGGGAUGAGCCCGCGUAGGAUUAGCUAGUUGGUGAGGUAAA
rnacentral:rRNA from 1 species